rnacentral:rRNA from 2 species
GGGAGCUUGCUCCCGGAUGUUAGCGGCGGACGGGUGAGUAACACGUGGGUAACCUGCCUGUAAGACUGGGAUAACUCCGGGAAACCGGAGCUAAUACCGGAUAGUUCCUUGAACCGCAUGGUUCAAGGAUGAAAGACGGUUUCGGCUGUCACUUACAGAUGGACCCGCGGCGCAUUAGCUAGUUGGUGGGGUAAUGGCUCACCAAGGCAACGAUGCGUAGCCGACCUGAGAGGGUGAUCGGCCACACUGGGACUGAGACACGGCCCAGACUCCUACGGGAGGCAGCAGUAGGGAAUCUUCCGCAAUGGACGAAAGUCUGACGGAGCAACGCCGCGUGAGUGAUGAAGGUUUUCGGAUCGUAAAGCUCUGUUGUUAGGGAAGAACAAGUGCGAGAGUAACUGCUCGCACCUUGACGGUACCUAACCAGAAAGCCACGGCUAACUACGUGCCAGCAGCCGCGGUAAUACGUAGGUGGCAAGCGUUGUCCGGAAUUAUUGGGCGUAAAGGGCUCGCAGGCGGUUUCUUAAGUCUGAUGUGAAAGCCCCCGGCUCAACCGGGGAGGGUCAUUGGAAACUGGGAA